CGCUCCUGCGGCGGCGGGGGGCGCGGCGGCGGGAGGUUCCACCCCUGGCGCCGCAAUGCGGGCCGCAGCCCCGGCUGGACUGGGCGUUCUCAAGCUCCGCCCCCUGACGCAACGUGUCUGGGCGGUGCGCGAGGGGCGAGCUCUGUGAUUUCGCCGCUCGCCGAGGCUGAGGCUCCGCCCCUCCCCGCCCCUCCCAGCACGCGGGUCUGCGACACCCGCGGCCUCUGCGGGCGCCAGCGCGCACCCCGGCUCCCAGCUGUCCCCAGUCGGCAACCACAUCACUGAAAACAGCAAACACAAGCUGCACGGCCUGCGGUUUCUGCUACUGUAAGCCUCGGCUCCUCUUGAUGUCCCCGGAGCCCGAGAACUCGUACUGCGUCAUCUCGUGGAGCUCCGCCGGAGCUGUCAAGGAGGAGGAGGCAGAAGCACCGAGUGACACCAAGGUGGGACUCACCUGGCGCGGGUGAAGCUCAGCCCCGCAGGUCUGGCGUCCCCAGCGCAACAGCCCACGCCUCCGUGACGGAAGCUGCGGCGCGCCCUGCAGCGCACACCGGGGCCUGCGUUUAGGGCUUCUUUCUCCUUGCUUGUCUUCCCACCGCUGCGAAGUGGUCUCUGCACAGGCUUUUGGUCUCCGUGUGUGCAGGAGUUAAUUACAAAACUAAUACACUCGGGCUAGGAUUGUGGCUCAGCGGUAGAGCGCCCGCCUAGCAUGGGCGGGACCCGGGUUCGAUCCUCAGCACCA
rnacentral:lncRNA from 1 species